rnacentral:rRNA from 1 species
AACGAACGCUGGCGGCAUGCUUAACACAUGCAAGUCGAACGAGAACUUCGGGCUUAGUGGCGCACGGGUGCUUAACGACUGGUAACUUGCCCUUAGGUUCGCUAUCCUUGCCUGUAAGGUGUGUUCAUACCGCUUAAUGUCUUCGCAGCAAAGAUUUGUUGCCUCUUGAUGGGUGCGGGUAGGAUUCGGUGGUUGGUAGGGUAAACGCCUAUCAACGCGACGUUCCAUAGCUGGUCGGGGAGGAUGACCUACCCCGCUGGGACUGAGACACGGGUCAGCCCCCGACGGGAGGCAGCGGUAGGGAGUAUUAGAGAGUGGGCGAAAGCCUGAUCAAGCAAGGCCGCGGGAGUGAUGAAGGCCUUAGGGUUGUAAAGCUCUUUUAGCCGAGAUGAUAAUGACAGUACCGGGAGAAUAAGCACCGGCUAACUCCGUG